rnacentral:rRNA from 1 species
UACGGGGGGGGGCAAGCGUUUGUUCGGAAUUACUGGGCGUAAAGGGCUCGUAGGCGGCCAACUAAGUCAGACGUGAAAUCCCCAGGCUCAACCUGGGAACUGCGUCUGAUACUGGAUGGCUUGAAUCCGGGAGAGGGAUGCAGAAUUCCAGGUGUAGCGGUGAAAUGCGCAGAUAUCAGGAGGAACACCGGUGGCGAAGGCGGGUCUCUGGGCCGAUACUGACGCUGAGGAGCGAAAGCGUGGGGAGCGAACAGG